rnacentral:rRNA from 6 species
UCACAAACGACUCUCGGCAACGGAUAUCUCGGCUCAUGCAUCGAUGAAGAACGUAGCAAAAUGCGAUACUUGGUGUGAAUUGCAGAAUCCCGUGAACCAUCGAGUUUUUGAACGCAAGUUGCGCCCGAAGCCUUUUGGCCGAGGGCACGUCUGCCUGGGCGUCACGC